UAUCUAUUAAGAGUUGCAUGAAUUUCAUUCAAGGCAAGGCAACUUUAUUUACUUAACACGUACAGAGGGUAAAUUCAAAUCACUGUGACAUUUUUAC